rnacentral:rRNA from 1 species
AGCGAACGCUGGCGGCAGGCUUAACACAUGCAAGUCGAGCGGGCGUAGCAAUACGUCAGCGGCAGACGGGUGAGUAACGCGUGGGAACGUACCUUUUGGUUCGGAACAACCCAGGGAAACUUGGGCUAAUACCGGAUAAGCCCUUACGGGGAAAGAUUUAUCGCCGAAAGAUCGGCCCGCGGUCUGAUUAGCUAGUUGGUGUGGUAACGGCGCACCAAGGCGACGAUCAGUAGCUGGUCUGAGAGGAUGAUCAGCCACAUUGGGACUGAGACACGGCCCAAACUCCUACGGGAGGCAGCAGUGGGGAAUAUUGGACAAUGGGCGAAAGCCUGAUCCAGCAAUGCCGCGUGAGUGAUGAAGGCCUU